UUGAACUAGAGAACCCAGUGUCAUGGAGGGGAAGGGGAGAAAUGGGACACAUGGUGAGGAGGAGAAGGAGGAAGGGACGGGCUAAUCCAGGCCUGGGAGGCAGUGGAGAAUCUGAAGGUGGGGAGUCCACUAGCUAAGAAUUCCCAAGCCUCGGGGCUGAAAGGGAGUUGAGUAAAUAUCCAGUCCAGCCCCUUCAUUUUAUAGAAGUAAGGCCAAGGGAAGCAAGGUGUCAUCAGUUCUUCAGUCAGUAAACAUUGAUAAGUGCCUACUAUGUGCCAGGCACUGUUGGGCUCCCUCAUCUUAAAGAUGGCCUUCCUUUCAUAUUCUUUAUGGUGUUUCCCUAGCACCCUCCUUUCUUUUGUAAAAUCCUUGGGGGUCUCCAGGACUAGGAAAACAUCAGAAUCCCUUCCUCCCCAUGCCAUAAGCCUGAGCUCUGACCAAGGGGAUAAUUGGGGGGAAUCUACUCUCUUUUUCCCUCCCUCCUCAGAGGAGAGAAGAGAGGUCUAUGCUUGAAGCCAAGACCCUAGGGUCCAAUGGCCCUAAGGGAGGGGGCACCCAGCCAGUAUUAGGGAGGGAGCUGGAGGAAGGGGAGGGGCUCCUGCCUCCCUGGUGGAGCCAAUGAAGUGGAGAGAGAGCUCAGUCUCCAUGGUGAUGGGAGUCUCCUUAGCAACUGCCCCUCCAACCAGCGGCUCUGGCUACCGGAGGGGUGGGGGGGAAUGUGUGCAGCCAAGGGCACCUUAACCCCCAGUGUCUCAAGACCCUAGGCCAGAGGCUCUUGCAGUGCUGAGGGUGUCGGGCUCCUAGGGACUCUGGAAAGUUGCUAUUACCUGAAAGUGUGGCCUUGCAUACUGCUGGCUGAUUGCCCAUUGGGGACUUCCUGAGGAAAAACAGACAUGGCAUGAGUCCCCCUACAGAGAGUUCCUGGGCACCAGAGCCCCCCAGAGUGGGCACUCACUUGUUGCCAACAAUGGCUGGCACAUUGGCCAGAAGGGAGAAGUUGCUUCGGACACUUCUUAGACUUGCCAGCACCUGGGGGAGAGCAUAAGAAGAGUAGUUAAAGAAGUAGGUGAGUAUGUGAAAAUCCCUCUCUAAGUCACCUUCUUGAGUGCCUCAACUUAUACCAACACCAACCCUCUUCAAGAUUUUUCUCUUUAAACUGACCUGGGCGAAGGGUGUCACAAUCAAGUCUUCAUGUCUGCAAUAAACCACGGUGAUGGUGUCAGAAACCAAAGGUCAAAGUUUAGAGAUUGGGGGGUAGGUCUCCCCAACUCCCAAACUAUGCCAAUGGAGAGGCCAUCUGAAGUGGGAAAGUUGGGUACUGGGGCUAGGAACCAGAGUGGGUACAAAGCCCUGUAGGCUUAAGAUGAUAAGGCUUUAUCAUGCUUAGGGAGUAGGGAGGAUGAGUGUUGAGUCUGGAUGAUUUGGGGGACCUGGGAAAAUUGAGGAGAGGGUUAAGAAGAGGUAUGCUCACACUUCACUGGCAAUGGAAGAGUUUCGGGACAUGGUCUUGGGUGACAUGUCAUAGUCACUGUCCGAGCGGUACAGGAAAGACUCACGGCGCUGGCUCUGGGGGGCACUGGGGGGCAGCACCAGCCCCGGGCUCGCCUGCGAGUCCAAAGGGCUUCGUCCUGGGGAUGGGGAUGGCCCAUUCUCCACCUCAAAGCUGCAACAGGGAGAGAAGGAGAAAGGUGGAGGGAGAGGGAGAGGGAGAGAGAGAGAGAGAGAGAGAGAGAGAGAGAGAGAGAGAGAGAGAGAGAGAGAGAGAGAGAGAGAGAGAGAGAGAGAGGAGAGAGAGAGGGGAGUGGGGUAGGGACAGUGAUACAGAUAAGAACUAAGGGAGAGAUAAUGGGAGAUGAUCAGAGAUACAGGAGAAACAGGGACAGAAUUCAGAAGAGGUAACUAGGAGGAGACAUGGAUAGAAGGUAAGAGGUUCCCUUUCCAAUCAUAGAACCAAUAUGUUCACCUCCUAUCCACCCCAUUGACUGAGGAGAGAGAGCUCUCCUGGCACCUAAACGGUGAUGCCCUGACACCAUGGAAAUUGAUGGACUUGGAUUUGGGAAGUCCAAUAUUCAAAUUCAGCUUCAGAAAACAUUUACUAGCUGUAUGACCUUAGAUGAAUCACUUAACCUCUCCUGCCUCAGUUUCCAUAUCCGUAAAAUGGGAAUAAUAAUAGCAUCUACCUCCCAGGGUGGUUGAGAGGCCAAAACAAGAUAUUUAUAAAGCAGUUUGAAAACUUUAAAAUACUAAAUAAAUGGUAGCUAUUAUUAUGAAGAAGGGUGUGUGUGUGGAAAAGUAAGGAUUUGAGUUCUAGUCCUAAAGCCAGCAAGCUUUGCACUCAGUUGAUAAAUCACAUUGAAUUGGACUGACUUGAUCCUUAAUUGGUCAUUAAUUCUUAUCAUGGUACAUCACUAAUUCACUUUCCCCUAUGGGCUUUUGUUUCUCCCCCCAAAUAAUCAGGGAGUUGAAUGAGAUGCUCUCUGACGUCCUUGAAUCUCUAUGAUUCUCUGCUUCUAAGUCUCUCCUGACUCUAAGAGCCGAGGGAUGAGAGACAGGAUGUGACCAGGGAACUAGCCCCUCCUCCCAAGUCACCAAGGACCCCAGGCACUAUUUCUCUAGGUCCCAUCCUGGCUUUUCCUAAGGGAAAACUGUAAGGAAUGAGUGUGCGAGUUAUAGCUUUAGGGAAGAAUCCGAGAGAGAGGUGUGCAAGAUGAGGGACACAAACUCAAAGUCUCCCUUUCACACACACAAUACACAGGUAGGAAAUGACAGAGAUUGGACAGAAUCUGAUAGACCAAGAAACCAUGGGAAAAGACAAGCAGAAAACCUGAGAGAGAGUCUGAAAGAGAAGCAUUAGACAGAAAAAGAGACAGACACACUGGGAUAGACAGACAGAUGAUUCCUGAAGAAAUGGGGAGAGCUGGCCCCUGACUGACAGAGAAAAGGAAUCGACAGCAUGGUUCUGGCCUUGGCGCCUGGCCCAGCUCAGUCCUGGCAUGACGCCUGCCCCACCCUCCCCUGGGGGCCCAUGUCUGCGCACUCCAGAGCCCUGGGGCUGGGUACAGGUGGGGGGGGGGAGGUCUCAUGAGCCCCCUGUUUGUGCUUCCAGGAGCUCAGCCUCCUCUUAACCCUAUCCUUACCAUAUGGCAUAUAAGCCAGCAGCCCAGCCUAGCAGAGAGAAAGGGGAACUGUUGUGAUCAGGUUGGAUUUGGGAGAGAAAAGUCUGAUCUCAGGGAAAGGAGUAUUGGUAACCUCCUUGCUAGGGGAAAGAGGUUUAGAAUCUGUGCCCUGGCCGCUGGGUAGGAGCUGGAAGAGAACAGACAUUCCAAAUUGGUGAGGGAGGGAGAUAGUCUACCCCUUGGGCCCCCAAUCUCCCCCUUCACAAUCUAAGCCUCCAAAGUCUUCCGGUAAGUUUCUCCUAAAUCCAGCCAACUCAUCAGUCACCAACUGAAAAAUCAACACAGGUAGGGGUCAUUCUUGUGAGCCUUUACUCGGGCCCUUCAUUCAGCCUGCCCUGGUAGUCCUCUCUCUUCACUCAACCCACCUAGCUCCCCAGUAAUGUUAGCCCAACAAAGGGCUAGGGAGAGUAAAGAAGUCAUUUCAUUCUUUCCAAGUGCAGAUUUGGGCAUUAUCUGAUAUUUUGCUCCAUUCCUCAAUCUUUCUUUCUCUCAUGCUAUCUAUUGGCAAUGCCACUCUCUCCACCCAAGGCUUCCACUACUACUUCCUAGGAGAUGGCUCUCAAAUAUUCAGCUCUAGUCCUGACCAGUGGUCUGAAGUCCCAACCUGCUUCUCAGUCUAGUGUAGCUGUUCCCCUAGUGUCAGACUUGGGUGUGUCCACAACUCAAGCUCAUUAUCUUUGCCUCAAAACUCACUUCUCCUGUUGACUUCAUUGUUUCUGUUUAAACAUGGCAUCACUUGACCACUGACCACUCAGGAUCCUAUUUUUUAACUUUGGGGUUAUCUUUGUCUCUUCCCUCUCCCAUUUUACUUGACAAAACCUUCAAUUCCACUUCAACUCUCUCUCUCUCUCUCUCUCUCUCUCUCUCUCUCUCUCUCUCUCUCUCUCUCUCUCUCUCUCUC